CUCGAUGACGCUGUAGCUCUCCACGUAAUCGACGUGUUCGUCCUGCGGCUCGCUGGCGAUCUGCCGCAGCGUGGCCUUGUCCACGCUGCCCACUCCGAUGGCGAACAGCUCGACGCCGCUGGCCCGGGCCCGCGCAGACACGUCCUGCACGCUGUCCUGGGGCCUCCCGUCUGUCACCACGAUGACCACCUGCGACACGCGGGGCGGUGUGACACCGGGCUCCCGGAAGCCCACGGGACUGUCCAGGAGAGGAGGCUGAGGCCCGGAGAGGCGGGAGGACUGCCGGGUCGCACAGCCAGGCGGCACCCGGGGGAAGAGGACCCGGCUGGCCGAAGAGGAGACCCGUUUCCUCUGACUGAGAGACGUGGCUGGGGGGCUUUCCAUCUGCUUCGCCUCCCUCGGGCAGGCAGCUCUGAGAUGCCCGGAGGGAUGUGAUGCCCCAUCGCCAAAUUGGGGUCUCUAAGGUCAGGGCCAUGCCUUCCCCUCAGACUGAGGCGGCUGAGGGCAGGGUCCUCAGGCUGAUGGCUGUGGGAGUCGUGCCACGCCCCUCGUGCCCCCGGGAGGCCCGGCCGGGGCUGGGUGGGGGGAUCCGGUGGUUCCACAUGGUGCAGUUCUGCGCUUUGGCCACCAGAUGGCAGCCGAAGCUAAGGGAUGGGGCUGCCGUCUCCCGUCUUGCUGUCCUUGUCCCGGUAAGACCGGGGACCCUGGACCAGGGAACCGACGGAGGGCCACUCCCAUGUGGAUGCCCAAGGGACCAACCCAAGAAAGAUGCCGCCCUUAUCCUCCUCCACUCCCCGGUAUGAUACAUGCCCCUGCCAGAGAGGGAAAGAAUCUGCCUGCUCCCCUCCCACUAGGCUCCUCUGGUCUGUACCCUGGAAAGAAAGAGGUGGCGGACUCUGUCACUGAGAUCCGGCUUCGUGACCCCCUGUCUGCACCCGCCCUGAGGCUAGGGCGCUCCCAGCUCUGCCCAGUCUGGGUUAGGCAUCCAGUCCCGCUUUGCUGCUUCUCUGCUUCUGACUUGGGUCUGUUUCUGAUUCCUGGGUCCCAUCCUUAGCCCCAGGUCCUGACACCCUGUCCUGAUGACAGGCAGUUGAGACAGGCCGUGUUUAGAAAUGCAGCUCCACAAGCUACAGGUCACCUUCCUGAGCCUCAGUGUCUUCAACUGUAAAAAGGGUUGUGGUGAGGUUGAGUGAGAUGACUCCUGGUUAGAAGCCAGAAGGGGCAACUAUUAUUUUUACCAUCAUUACCCUGGGCUACCUGGGGAGUGACUUUGUACAAUCUCUUCCUCUCCAGGGGCCUGGGCUCCUGGCUCUGAAAAUCUAGCUGUGACUAUUCGCUGCCAUCCCGAGGCCCACUGCCUCCUCGAGUCCCUACUCCCCUCCCUGCAACCCAGCUUUCAGAUUGUCCACCUUGCUGGGUCCUCCCACAGGUGAACUCCAGGCUGAACACCUGGAGUCUGGUGCCAGCUCCCCCAGCGCCGCUGUGUCACCUGCUGGAGGAGCUCUCUCCUCACUUGCCCACCCCACGCCACCACCCCCAUCUCCUUCACCCUCUCCACCACCUCAACCAUCAGCUUCAUCUACAGCACCCCGUGCUGAAACUUGUAGUUGGCCCCAAGACCGACAGGCUGCCUGAUACGUCAUUUCUCUAAGGGGUGGUAAUGGCUGGGAUUAUAUGCUGUUGUCUCUGUGAAUGCUUUUCCCACUUAUUGGCUGAGCAAGUUGCUUAAGCUUCUUAUGCCUCAGUUUCACCAUCUGUAAAAUGGGGAUACCACCUCCGAGCAGAAUCAUGUUCAUUUAUCCACUGUGUGCUAGAGAGUGGGGUAUGGAGGAGGGAUAAGAAAGAACCUCCCCUGAGCUGGGGCCCUGAGCAGGGAAGUGGCGACUCGGGCUAACGAAGGCUGCAGUGGGGAAGUGCUGGAGCCUGUGGGGGUGCCACAGGAACAGAGGACACCUGGCUUAGCCUCAGGUUCUGUGCUGAGCCCUGAACAUGACAGUGAGGAUACAAGUCCUGGGAAACGCUCAGCCCUCUGCCUGGAGCCCUCACUGACAGCACAGGUGGCAGCACAGCCCUUCCAUUUCUGAGCCCCUGCCCUCGGAGAAUUAUGAAAUUAAAAAUUAUCAAAUGCCAUGAUGGGAAGCCUUAUGCUUUUGAACUCAGUCCUCAGCAGCACUUGGAGAAGGUGUUAUCAUUACUCCCAUUUUACAGCUAUGAAAUGGCCACCUCACGGGGCAUCAUGGGAAUCAAAGUGUCUGCAGGCAAAGCUCAUAACUCCGAGCGGGAGCCUCCAAACAGCAGCAUCCUAGCAGGGUGGCGUGCACGUACCUUGCUGAUGUCAGGGGACCUGGAACGACCACCCUCUGCAUCGCCGAAGGCUUUGGUGAUAGCGAACUGGAUGGCCAGGCCGGUCAUGGUGCCUGUGGACAGCGGCUGGAUACGGCGCACAGCCUGCAGCAGUGCGGCCUUGGAGACAUGAGCCCGCAGCGAGAACUCCUGCUUCACGGUGCUGGCAUAGUUGACCAUGCCCACCCGGGUGGCAUUGGGCCCCACGUCCAGCGACUCGAUGACCUGGGACAGGAAUACCUUCACUUUCUCAAAUUCAACAGGCCGAACGCUGCGAGAGCUGUCGACAACAAACACCAGGUCUGUGGGCCGCGUCCGGCAGAGAUGGCCUGGGAGUGGGGCAGGAGGGGUAAGGCAGAGAGCAGAGACACAGGUCAGGGACUGGGCCUGAACACACAGAGUGCGGCUUCUUAGAUCCAGGUGCGAGGCCUCGGGCCCAGUAGGCUGCAAACUUCAGCUGGGCAGCUGAGCCCUUUUAUCAACAUGCAGACACCAGCAAGCAACUUGCCAAAGGCCCCCUGCUCAGCCCAUGGGGAACACAGAGGGCCAAGCCUGGCCUUGGGCCAUUUGCUUCACUUCUCUGAGCCUCAGUUUCCUCAUCUGAGCAGUGAGCUAGCAAUCCCUCCUUACAGGAUGUUUUGAGGAGCCAGCAGGGGGCCAGGCAAGCAAUGAGUAUUCCAGGGGUGGCAAAGGACCCUGCGGCCUUGAAAACACAUUUAGGUUUCAGCCCAGACUUGCUGCCAGAAACAAGGGCAGCUAUUUCUUCUAGCUGGGCAGGAGGGCACCAAGGAUGGGCCCUCCAGGCAUGGGCACAGGCUUGAGAGCCAAAGCAGUGCCCGUCAACAUGGCCUCUUUCAUCUGAGCAUCAAAGCAAAUCACCAAAGUGGAACCAGUUUCCCUCAGCCUGGCAGCGCCUGCUGGCGGGUUGCCAAAGACAGGGAAAAGGAGCAGGAAUUCCUGGUGGCCACCUCGGCAGCCUGAUCAGGUGCACACCAAGACACACCCCCGAGGAGCAAUGUCCUCCAGAGACCCAAGAAGGCAGCACCCUGUGCUGGGAAGUAUGCAGGGUCAGAGUGAGUUCAGGCCUGGGUUCAAAUCCUGGCUCAGCCACUCUGUGGGGCCCUGGGCAGAUCAUUGCACCUUUCUGAGCCUCCGUGAUCUCACAUGUCCAGUGGAGAGAAUAAGGCUACUGUCACUGGCCUGGGCCUGCAGUCAGGAAGGUCUCACUACAAAGGCCCUUCCCUCCCCAUCCCAUGCGGAGUCUGAACUGAGCAGAGCCAAUCCCAAAGAGGAAAGGGGAAACGUGCAGGGCCGUCCCAACCCCCAAGUCACAGUAACUCACAGUGCCCUAGACUGGGGCUCUGGACAUCAGAGUUCCUCAGGAGACCUUAGAAAUCACCAUGCAGCAGGCUCCCUGCUGUCUACUCGCUAAGGCUACAAAUGGGUAAACUGAGACCCAAAGAGGGAAAGGGAAUUGGCCACACCGUACAGCAGUAGAUCAAUAACCUAGAGGCUCUGGCGCUAUCUCACUGUGUGGUCUUAGGCCCUCACUGACCUCAGUUUCCCCAUCUGUACAGGAAGAAUGGGCAUUCCAGGACUCAGUGCCCAAACCUGAAACUCUGGGGGGUGUUAUUGCCCCCAGGGAGCCCAAGGCUGGAAGGACCUGCAAAGGGGGCAUGAGCUCUUGGCAUCCCAGGUCUGCUGUCAUCAAAGAGCCAUGGGCUCAGCCCUGGGCUUGGUGCAGCUCCAGACGUCAGCCAGCUCUCUGAGUAGCUUCUGCUCCCCAGAGACCUGGAAGACCAAGGUCCCUGCCUCAUGCAUGGUCCCUGAGGGCUGAGGAGCACCCCUGCCCUGACCCUUAUAAGCACCAUGGUCCCUGUCUGCUCCUGCACCAGCCCACUGCCCACCACUGCCGCCCUGCUCCCUUCCCCAUCCUGGAUCCCGUGUGCUCCCUGCCAUAUCGGUACCCAGCCCCCAGUGCUGAGGGUCAGGGCCCACUAGCUCAGUAGCCCCCAUCUCACGCAAGCCCCCUCACCUCUGGACUGGGGGGCGAGGCCAGGGCUGCACAGGGCCUGGAGCAGCAGCAGCAGGCUGCAGAGCAUGAGGCUAGUGCCAGAGAGGACCCUCAUAGUUCUGGCAGCACGGGCAGCAGCCGGCACGGUUGUGGGACCAGUGGGGUCCAGGUCUUAUCAACCCCACUGCCCGCCCAGCCUUUGGGUCAGGUGGCCCCCAACUGACGACUGACGUGGGGGCAGCCCGCCCUGGCCCCCAGCCCCCCCAAAGGGCGGGGCUUGGGCUGAAUGGAGGUGUGUGUGCCCUGAGAGGGCGGGAGAGCCUGGCCCAGGCUUCAGAGGCCCCUCUGACCACAAGGGCUCCUUUGCUUGCAGAAGCAACUAGAGCGGCAGCUGGAAUUUGGGAAAUCUCAGGUGGGUGGGGGGUGGCUCUUCCAGGGGCUGGAGCCCGCGCUGCCUUGAAGCUCCACCCCAAGCCUAGGCAUACCUGAGUCCAAUGGCCCGGCCCAGCCCUGUCCUGCACCUUCAUCCCACACCCAAAUCCUUCCCCCACUCACAACCCCAAGUUUCUCAUUAAAUUCACUUCCCCUUCCCCAGCCUCACUGUGCCCUGCUCUCCGCACACGCCCUGCUCUCCAGCUACCCCUGGAUUCUCCUCGAAGGCCUCCAGGCCAUCACACAUGCAGGGCCAUCUGCCCAGAAUCCUUUCCUCUCACUAACUCUCUGCCUUGUAGAAUCUUUCAAGGUCAUAAUUAGGGCUAACAUGUACCUUCACUGUUAGUAUGGGCAGGGCAGUGGAGACCAUGGUUAAGAGCACAGACUUGGGAGCCAGGUUACCUGGGUUUGCUAUACCAGCAAACCACCUGUGUGACCAUGGGCAAGUGACUUCACCUCUCAUGUCUCAGAUUGCUCAUCUGGAAACUAGGGAUGGUAAUAGCGCCUCCUAGGGUUGAUUCAAGGAGCAAAGGAGUUAGAUGAGGUUUCUCAGUUAAUCCUCUUGACAACUUUUUAAAGCAGCUACUGUUAAAGAACAGAGAGGUAAAAUAACUUGUCUGAAGUUACACAGCUAAGAAGUGUUAUUGCCAGGAUAGAGCCCCAGGCCCGGCUCUCAGCCAUGCUGCUGUCUCAGUGUAGCUUGAUGUAGGUGGCUUCUCCCUGCCCAUCUCUUCCCCCUGUGGGUCCCUGCUUGGCCCACCUCACCUGUCAGCCAGUGGAUUCAACUCUGCAUCAGGCCCAGCACAGAGAAGGCAAAGAUAAAGCCUUCUAAACAAAGUAACAUCAGCAGGAACGAUCCCCUUCUUUGCAUUUGGGUCAAGUAGUUCAUGAGAUAGAGCAGAAAGAGCAUGGGCUUGGCUACCUGAGAGAUCCAGGUUCAAAGCCACUUCUGCUCCUAACUGGCUGUGUGACCUGGAGCUGGUGACUUAACCUCUCUGAGCCUCAGCUUGCCAUGGUGCAGUGGGAAUGGUCGUUCUUGAUCUGCCUGCCCCAUGUGAGGGGCAAGAGGGGGACAGAAGUGGAAAUGGAGUUAAAGGAUUGUCAUUGCUCCAGGAGGCAGAAUCCUAAGACUUGGGACCUAUGCACUUCACUCUGUGUAAAUUAUACCUCAAUAAAAGGAAAUGUACAGACAAAAAGCGACUGCUGGGUGCAGCAGACCCAACUCACCGCUACCACACUCUUUAGCAAUAAUUAUAACAAUCCCUUCCACCCUUGACAUGGCAGUUACUCAUUCUAUCACUCUAUCUCAUUUGCUCACCCAACAAACCUGUGAAGUCAGCAGAUUUGAGUCUCUUGGCCCAUUUGUCAGAUGGAGAAACUGAGGCCCAGAGAGGUUCACUGACUUACCCGAAGCCACCAGCCAGUUUAGGGGCAGAGCCAAGCCUAAAGCUCAGGCCUCACUCCCCUUUGCACCAGUGUUAGAGAAGGAGGAGGUUAAGAGCAUUGCCUUCUGACUUUUUCCCCUUAUAUUUCAUGUGUGCCUAAUUCACUGCCCUCCCCAAUUCCAAAAACCACUUGAAGCUGCUGAUUCCUUUUUCUGCUACAACUUUGAAGUCGAAUUCUUCUCCAGAGAUGCUGCAAGGUGUGAUGAUGGUGGUGCCUCUCCCUUCCCAAAAUGGUGUAAUUAAGGUGUUACCUGUCUCCCCAAGGACGUGAGCUCCCUCCGAGCAGGGGGCUUGCCCGUCUCAGUCACCACUGAAUCCCUGGGACCCAGCAUGGUGCCUGGCACAGGAUCUCUGGUAAGCAAAUGAAGGAAUGAAUGAAAACUAACUACGAACAGAGAUGGGUCCCCCCCCGAACACCACCAGAAA
rnacentral:lncRNA from 1 species